CAUGAGGGAGACAGAGGGAGACAGAGGGAGACAGGUGGUGACAUGGUGAAGACAGAAAGAGACAGGUGGUGACAUGGGGGAGAAGGAGGGAGACAGGUGGUGACAUGGGGGAGACAGAAGGGAGACAGGUGGCGACAUGGGGGGAGGAAGAGGGAGACAGGUGGUGACAUGGGGGAGACAGAGGAAACAGGUGGUGCCAUGGGGGAGACAGAGGGAGACAAGUGGUGACAUGGGCGAGAAGGAGGAGACAGGGGCGACAUGGGGGAGAAGGAGGGAGACAGGUGGUGACAUGAGGGAGACAGAGGGAGACAGGUGGUGACAUGGGGGAGACAGAGGGAGACAGGUGGCGACAUGGGGGAGAAGGAGGGAGACAGGUGGUGACAUGGUGGGAGACAGAGGGAGACAAGUGGCGACAUGGGGGAGAAGGAGGGAGACAGGUGGUGACAUGGGGGAGACAGAGGGAGACAGGUGGUGACAUGGGGGAGACAGGUGGUGACAUGAGGGAGACAGGUGGUGACAUGGGGAGAACGAGGGAGACGGGGGGAGACAGUGGGUGACAUGGGGAGACAGAGGGAGACAAGUGGUGACAUGGGGAGACAGGUGGCGAAUGGGGAGAAGGAGGGAGACAGGUGGUGACAUGGGGACGAGGGAGACAGGUGUGACAGGGGGGGAGCGGUGGUGACAUGGGGAGACAGGGGAGACAAGUGGUGACAUGGGGGAGACAGAGGGAGACAGGUGGUGACAUGGGGGAGACAGAGGGAAACAGGUGGUGCCAUGGGGGAGACAGAGGGAGACAAGUGGUGACAUGGGGGAGACAUGGUGGAGACAGAGAGAGACAGGGGGCGACAUGGGGGAGACAUGGUGGAGACAGAGAGAGACAGGGGCGACAGGGGGAGACAGAGGGAGACAGGUGGCGACAUGAGGGAGACAGAGGGAGACAAGUGGGACAUGGGCGAGAAGGAGGAGACAGGUGGCGACAUGGGGGAGAAGGAGGGAGACGGGGGUGACAUGAGGGAGACAGGUGGUGACAUGGGGGAGAAGGAGGGAGACAGGUGGUGACAUGGGGGAGACGGAAGGACAGUGGUGACAUGGGGGAGACAGGUGGUGACAUGGGGGAGACAGAUG
rnacentral:lncRNA from 1 species